rnacentral:piRNA from 1 species
GACACAUACCCUGGCUGUCAUGUUAAAA